GUGACUGUAUAAAUCCAUCAACAAUAAAUCUUAGGGAUGAUCAGUGGAGUGCAUCGACAGAAUAUGGUUCUUAUACUGCACAAGAAGGCAAUCUAAAUGGAGUUGGAUGGGGAACAUUAACGUAUGACAAGUUCCAGUACCUUAAAAUUGACCUAAAUGGUGUAUGGCAGAUUACAGGGAUAUUGUUUAGUCGGAUAAAUAAUGGCUGGUACACCAAGACCUUACGGGUUUUGUACAGUGAAAACAAUUUUGAAUGGAUUCCUUACAACUCUCGUCUGUCUAGUAAUGUGUUUGGGGAAGAGUUUGAUAGAACUGGU